GUGUGAAGAGCUACAGGCAAGAGUAGAGACGCAAAACAACGAGAACCACUCACUCAGAGAUGAACUACAGAGGCUUUCUGAGGAAUGUGGGAAGCUUACAGCUGAGAAUGAUUCAAUAAAGGAUGAAUUAACCAGGUUUUUUGGACCUAAAGCUGUUUCGAAACUCGAUGCACAUCUUCAAUCUCGAACGAACGAAGGUGAAAGUUGAUAUCAUGACAACAAGUUACUUAUUAAGCUUAUACAAUUAGGUCAACAACCAUUUCCGAGUUAUCAAAAGGAAUCGACUUUAGGAUCUGAUUAAGGAAGUGCAGCACUCUUAUACACUCCAUAACCAAGGUUAUUGCGACAUUGAACAAAGAGUGCAGGUUCUCCACAAGCAGAGAGAGAAACCGCCAUCUCCUGUGUUAAGGCAGCCAAACUGAGAUGGCCUGAGUUGUUUGCUACCGUCGAUUCAUCACUGGAAGAUUGGUUUGUUGAUCAAAUGCGAAUAUUGCGGAAGUCAACUGCAGAAUUAAAACGUUAUGGACAAGAAAUUUCAGUUAUGUUAGUUAGUUAGA
rnacentral:lncRNA from 1 species